UGGGGAAUAUUGCACAAUGGGCGAAAGCCUGAUGCAGCGACGCCGCGUGAGGGAUGACUGCCUUCGGGUUGUAAACCUCUUUCAGCAGGGACGAAGCGAAAGUGACGGUACCUGCAGAAGAAGCACCGGCCAACUACGUGCCAGCAGCCGCGGUAAUACGUAGGGUGCAAGCGUUGUCCGGAAUUAUUGGGCGUAAAGAGCUCGUAGGCGGCUAGUCGCGUCGGCUGUGAAAACCUGGGGCUCAACCCCGGGCCUGCAGCCGAUACGGGCUAGCUAGAAUUCGGUAGGGGAGACUGGAAUUCCUGGUGUAGCGGUGAAAUGCGCAGAUAUCAGGAGGAACACCGGUGGCGAAGGCGGGUCUCUGGGCCGACAUUGACGCUGAGGAGCGAAAGCGUGGGGAGCGAACA
rnacentral:rRNA from 1 species